rnacentral:rRNA from 1 species
AUUGAACGCUGGCGGCAUGCCUUACACAUGCAAGUCGAACGGCAGCACGGGUGCUUGCACCUGGUGGCGAGUGGCGAACGGGUGAGUAAUACAUCGGAACGUACCUUAUCGUGGGGGAUAACGCAGCGAAAGCUGUGCUAAUACCGCAUACGCCCUGAGGGGGAAAGCGGGGGAUCGAAAGACCUCGCGCGAUUAGAGCGGCCGAUGCCUGAUUAGCUUGUUGGUGGGGUAAAAGCCCACCAAGGCGACGAUCAGUAGCUGGUCUGAGAGGACCAUCAGCCACACUGGGACUGGGACACGGCCCAGACUCCUACGGGAGGCAGCAGUGGGGAAUUUUGGACAAUGGGGGCAACCCUGAGCCAGCAAUGCCGCGUGAGUGAAGAAGGCCGUCGGGUUGUAAAGCUCUUUUGUCAGGGAAGAAACACCGGCUCUAACACAGUCCGGGAAUGACGGUACCUGAAGAAUAAGCACCGGCUAACUACGUGCCAGCCGCCGCCGUAA